rnacentral:misc_RNA from 1 species
CAAACGAGCACGGUCGCCACGGGAUCACCGACGUUGGCAUGGCCACAGGUGCGCACGCCAUGUCAGACUUUGGUGACGAGUACCAGCGGAAGAAGCUGGAGAUGCUUCCCGCACUCAUGGCUAUGCGGGGCAUUCUCAACCACCACAUCGCCUCAUUUGACCACUUGAUCGAGGUGGAGCUUCAGCGAAUUUUGCUGAACGAGUCCAAUGUUGAAAUCAAGAGUACUGUCGACCCGGACUUUGUGAUUCGUUACCAGAACAUCCGCAUCUGCCGACCACAGGAAAUUGUAGGCAAAGGCCACAUACCAAAGCUUGUGACGCCGCAGGAGUGCCGUGUUAGGGACAUGACGUAUCGAGGCGACAUGAUUGUUGAUGUGCAGUACACCAGCCGCGACCGCUCACGAGCGAUGCUGGUCGAGAAAGACGUAAAAAUCGGGACUAUACCUAUUAUGCUCAAGUCCAAGUGCUGCAACCUAUACCGCAAAACACGCGAGGAGCUGGUGAACAUGCGCGAGUGCCCACUCGACCCUGGUGGCUACUUCAUUAUCAAAGGCGUUGAAAAGGUGUGCCUGGUUCAGGAGCAGCAGAGCAAGAACCGUGUCAUCAUUGAGGCUGACGAACACGGCAACAUCUCGGCCCACGUGCAGAGCAAGACGCACUACUCCAUCUCCAAGUGCGCCGUUACCUUCAAGAAGGGCAGCAUCGUUCUCACGCAUCGCUCCUUCACAGAAGACAUCCCGAUCAUUGUCGUGCUCAAGGCGCUCGGCUUGGAGAAUGAUCAGCACAUCACACAGUGCAUCGGCACCUCGCCGGAGUUCCAGGAGAUCCUUUUUCCGUGCUUCGAGGAGGCGCGCCUGCUGAACGUGGUCACGCAAAACGACGCUCUGCAGUACAUCGGUGAGAAGCGGAAGGAGACGGUGUGGGAGGCGGAGGAGACGCAACAGCGACAAGUCAACAGGUCAAAGGCCGACAAGGCGGCCGAGUUUCUCGCCAACGUGCUGCUCUGCCACAUUCGGGAGGCGCAGGUGCAGAAGGACUGGAACUUUCGCCACAAGGCCUUCUACGUCUGCUUCAUGGUACGUGGCAUGAUCGAGGCCAGCUUCGACGCAUCGCUGCUUGACGAGCGCGACUUCUACGGCAACAAGCGAUUCGAGACAACCGGCACGCUGAUGGCCCUCUUGUUUGAGGACUUGCUGAAGCAAUUCAACCGCGUUGUGAAGACGGCAAUGGAUCAGCAGCUGUCCAAAAAGGACUCCACACGCCCCUUCAACGUGAAGCAGCUGAUGGAAAGCAAGAUGGAGGUGAUCCAGAACGGCAUGCGCAUGGCGAUCAGCAGUGGGCGAUGGGACUUGAAGCGCUUCAACAUGAACCGGCAGGGCAUCACACAGGUGCUCUCGAGACUCUCGUACAUUGCCAGCCUCGGCAUGAUGACGAGGCUGGCGUCCUCGUUCGAGAAGACGCGCAAGGUAAGUGGCCCACGCUCGCUGCAGCCAAGUCAGUGGGGGAUGGUCUGCCCGUGCGAUACACCAGAGGGCGAGAGUUGCGGCCUAGUGAAGAACUUUGCGACGCUUAGCCAGGUCACCUUGGACCUGAACGACAGCUACGUCCGUGCUGCCGCGCACGCACUUGGCGUGGAGGAGAUCGACACAGUUACGCCGACGGACUUUCUGCACUACUACACCGUUUUCCUCAACGGCACCCUCAUUGGCAUUCACCGCUACCCCAACCGACUCUGCGCCGGCAUUCGCGCUCUCCGGCGCUCCGGCCGUCUUCACCCGCACGUGUCUAUCUCAACGCAGCCGCGGCAGCGCACAGUCCAGAUCGGCAGUGAUGGCGGUCGCAUCGUUCGCCUGCUCAUCAUCGUGCGCGACGGAAAGCCGGCCGUCACCUCUGCCCACCUCGACCGCCUGCGCGACCGCUUGUGCACACACAACGACUUUCUGGCAGAGGGGCUGAUCGAGUACGUGGACGUGAACGAAUCGAAUGACUGCCUCAUCGCCGUCUACCCUGCCGACAUCGGGCCAUACACCACCCACCUCGAGGUGGAGCCGCUGUCGCUACUGGGCGUCGUGGCCGGCAUUAUCCCUUACCCGCACCACAACCAGUCCGCCCGCAACACCUUCCAGUCCGCCAUGGGCAAGCAGGCCCUCGGCACUGUGGCGCUCAACCAAUACAUACGCGCCGACACGGUGCUCCUCCUCGGUGCCUACCCACAGCGGCCUCUGUGCCGCACAAAGGCCAUGUCGCUGACACACUACGAAAAGCUCGGCGCCGGCAUCAACGCCAUGGUGUGCGUCAUGAGCUACAGCGGCUACGAUAUCGAGGAUGCGCAGGUGUACAACAAGUCCUCCCUGGAUCGUGGCUACGGCCGCUGUGUGGUGCUGCGCAAGCACGAGGUGGACUUGGAAAAGUACGCGGGCGGCGAGUUCGAUGUCAUCUUACCGCCGGAGAAGAAUAGCGGCACCGGGAAGUUUAAGGCGCUCAACCCAGACGGGGUUGCCAGCAAAGGUGCCCUUGUGCAGCAGUACGACGUCCUCGUGAACAAGUUCACGCCGGUCGCUGGCGGUGACCCGCGGCCGGCGCCGUUGGUGUACAAGUAUCCGCAACCUGCGGUCGUUGACCAUGUCAUCAUCUCGCCCCCUGGUGACUACGACAGGUCGCUCGACGUCGAUCAGAAAAUCAAGGUAAUCACGCGGGAGGUGCGACCACCAGAACCUGGUGACAAGUUCUCAUCACGUCACGGACAGAAGGGCGUCGUCGGCCUGAUUGUGAACGGAGUCGAUAUGCCCUUCAACGAGCGAGGCAUGUGCCCCGAUAUGAUCAUGAACCCCCACGGCUUCCCCAGUCGCAUGACGGUCGGCAAGUUGCUCGAGCUCGUUUGCUCUAAGGCGGCAGCGCUCCGAGGGUCGAUGGGCGACGGCACAGCCUUCGGCGGCGACUCGGCAGACAGCAUCAGCCAGCAGCUCCUCUCUUUUGGCUACAACUACCACGGCAAGGAUGUCUUUUAUUCGGGGAUCACGGGCGAGUUAAUGCAGGGCUACGUCUUCUUUGGGCCCAUCUACUACCAGCGCCUCAAGCACAUGGUCACAGACAAGAUGCACGCUCGCUCGACCGGGCCUCGGUCGAUGCUCACUCGCCAGCCAACCGAGGGCCGGUCUCGCAGUGGUGGCCUCCGCGUUGGAGAAAUGGAGCGCGACUGCAUGGUUGGCUACGGCGCGUCCAACCUCCUCAACGAGCGACUUCUCAUCAGCUCCGACAUGUUCACGGCGGACAUUUGCCACGUGUGCGGUAACCUCGGCUACAACAAUCGGUGCACGUACUGCAAAACCAAGGGGACUACCUCCAAGGUGAACAUGCCCUACGCUUUCAAGCUACUUAUCCAAGAACUACAGGGCAUGGGGGUCAGUCUUCGUCUCACGAUGGACCCCCCGACAUAGCCGCCACACCGCGUGGCGGUUUGCAUCGUCUUUCCUAUUGCUUUCCUGUU